GACGAACGCUGGCGGCGUGCCUAACACAUGCAAGUCGAGCGAGAAACUUCGGUUUCUAGCGGCGGACGGGUGAGUAACACGUGGGUAACCUGCCUCAUAGUGGGGGAUAGCCUUUCGAAAGGAAGAUUAAUACCGCAUAACACAGUUUGAUCGCAUGGUCAGAUUGUCAAAGGAGUAAUCCGCUAUGAGAUGGACCCGCGGCGCAUUAGCUAGUUGGUGAGGUAACGGCCCACCAAGGCGACGAUGCGUAGCCGACCUGAGAGGGUGAUCGGCCACAUUGGAACUGAGAUACGGUCCAGACUCCUACGGGAGGCUG
rnacentral:rRNA from 1 species